rnacentral:lncRNA from 1 species
UCAUUUUUCACAACAAAGAUGUCCCAGAAACUUAAAUUUGCUUCUCAAUAUUUACAAAUUACAUAAUGAUUGAUGACAUUUCAAUUUUCAUUCUACAUAAAAUGAAACAAAAACAAUUUUUGGAGUUACGUAAAAAUUACUUUAUGAAGCACAUACCAAUUAAUAUAAAGUGAAAAUUCUUACCUCAGAAAGCUAACGGAGUUUGCCAAAGUGACGUUGAGCCAUAGGUAAUUCUGGAAUCAUCAAGUCAUUUUUUUAAUGUAGACGCGUAUAUUUACGAAUUCUUACUCGUUACGAAUGUCGGGUAACAAAUUUCACACAUAACAAUUUCUAUCUGAACAGAUAAGACAACUCAUACUGUUCUUUUCUCUUUCUUUUUAGCAACAAACAAGGUCAGAGAAAGAAAAAGAGAGGGCUAGCUAUCUAAUGCAGAAAAUAAGGGCGUCCUGGAGCAAGUGGACUAAUUGAAAGGGAAACACUGAAACAAGCUCAAUUAUGGUAGAAAUUAGCAAAUGUAACUCCAGUAACAAUUUCCACAGCAACAGUUACACAAUUGAGAUAACUGAGAUGAACCAAAUUGAGGCUAAUACAAAUUCGGAUGAAGCUCAGAAACGAUCCCAACAGCUACAGCAACAAAUUUCGAAUUCACAAGCCCAAAAACGAACAAACCGUGUAGCAUAAAUUUGAACAGCCCUUUAAUCCUUUUUCGAUUUUUUUUCUUCUUUUGAAGUUUUCUAGAUAUGAAAUUUGACUUGGCAACUUCAUCUCGCAACAAGUUCAAGCGCGUGUGUGCGACUGAAUGUUUAUCUGUGAUUUUUCAAGAAGAAUAAGGAGGGGACAUGGCACUGGGUUUCAAGGAUCUAUCAUCUGAUUGAUCUUUUGAAGGUGGGAGAUGAGGAAGAAGGUUCCAAGGAGCGCCGUUUGCUCUCUAUGUAGGGUCCUCAAUAUGGAAAAAAUCUUAUCCCCUUAGGUUUUUUUUUUUGAAUUGUGUUUUUAUUGGUAGAAGGUAGGGUAAAG